GCCUGGCUGGCUCAGUCAGAAGAGCGUGGGACUCCUGAUCUCAGAGUUGUGAGUUCGAGCCCCACGUUAGGUG
rnacentral:tRNA from 1 species